GAUGAACGCUGGCGGCGUGCUUAACACAUGCAAGUCGAACGGAAAGGCUCCUGCUUGCAGGGGUACUCGAGUGGCGAACGGGUGAGUAACACGUGGGUGAUCUGCCCUGCACUUCGGGAUAAGCCUGGGAAACUGGGUCUAAUACCGGAUAGGACGAUGGUUUGGAUGCCAUUGUGGAAAGUUUUGCGGUGUGGGAUGAGCUCGCGGCCUAUCAGCUUGUUGGUGGGGUAAUGGCCUACCAAGGCGUCGACGGGUAGCCGGCCUGAGAGGGUGUACGGCCACAUUGGGACUGAGAUACGGCCCAGACUCCUACGGGAGGCAGCAGUGGGGAAUAUUGCACAAUGGGCGCAAGCCUGAUGCAGCGACGCCGCGUGGGGGAUGACGGCCUUCGGGUUGUAAACUCCUUUCGCUAGGGACGAAGCGUUUUGUGACGGUACCUGGAGAAGAAGCACCGGCUAACUACGUG
rnacentral:rRNA from 1 species